rnacentral:rRNA from 1 species
GUGUCAGCAGCCGCGGUAAUACGUAGAGUGCAAACGUUGUUCGGAAUUACUGGGCAUAAAGCGCUUGUAGGUGGCGCGGUAAGUCGGUUGUGAAAGCCCCUGGCUCAACCAGGGAAUUGCUGCCGAAACUACCGUGCUUGAGGGUGAGAGGGGAGAGUGGAACUUCCAGUGGAGCGGUGAAAUGCGUAGAUAUUGGAAGGAACGCCGGUGGCGAAAGCGACUCUCUGGCUCACUACUGACACUGAGGAGCGAAAGCUAGGGUAGCGAACGGGAUUAGAAACCCGGGUAGUCC